rnacentral:rRNA from 1 species
AAUGGGCGCAAGCCUGACCCAGCAACGCCGCGUGAGGGAAGAAGGCUUUCGGGUUGUAAACCUCUGUCCUUGGUGACGAAAAAAAUGACGGUAGCCAAGGAGGAAGCCCCGGCUAACUACGUGCCAGCAGCCGCGGUAAUACGUAGGGGGCGAGCGUUGUCCGGAAUUACUGGGCGUAAAGGGUGCGUAGGUGGCCUUUUAAGUUGGAUGUGAAAUACCCGGGCUUAACUUGGGGGGUGCAUCCAAAACUGGGAGGCUAGAGUGCAGGAGAGGAAAGCGGAAUUCCUAGUGUAGCGGUGAAAUGCGUAGAUAUUAGGAGGAACACCGGUGGCGAAGGCGGCUCUCUGGACCGAUACUGACGCUGAGACGCGAAAGCGUGGGUAGCAAA